GAUAAUUUGAAGAUGGCCUAGGCUUAGCUUGUUCUUGUUUUAAUCCAACAAGGCAAUGAGAGCUCCCUACAGCGGUCACGUAAACCCACGUGAAUUAGCCCCGUCACCAAAGCUCACAAACACGUCCCGCCAUGAAGACAAACUAAGCAGUCAGUCUUGUCUGUGUUAUUUUAGUUUGUGGUUUUGAUUUAGACACACAGCGGCGUCAACAACGACAAAAACAACAUUGUCAUGUUCGCCUAAGACAUGAACUGACCACGAGUGUACGACGGCGAUGUAAAUAUCGUCUUCCCGGAACACGGAACAUGAGAAGGUUGUGAUUAGAAAUCUUUUAAGUCGGUGUUCGGACAAAAAUAUCUCCUUGAUAAUUGGUAUAGAAUUGGCACAUAGGUGCUUAUGGCCACGUGAAUACAUAUUCUUUCUUGACAAUUUAGAAUCAUACAUUCAGACUGGACUCCCAGAAGAAGAAGAAAUUGCAUUGCAAAAUGCAAGAUUGGCAGUACCAAAAUAUUCAUAAAAUAAAAACUAUACAAUGCCUAUGAGACACAUGACACAGUAUGUAUAUAAUAUGCAUAAUACAAUGCAUAUAUAGGUUAAAAUGUAGAUGCAAGUGUGGUUUUUUUAAACAGGAAAGCCCACGAAAAACGGCCGAAAGCUUUUAUUGAAAAAAACCCAGUAACACAGUUUGACAUUUGGCGCUACUCUAUCACUUACUGCAACGUCAAGUUAACCACGUUACAAUGUUUAGACUGUCUGGGCAUCAAUACCAUUUAUACCUAAACGAACCAGUUUAGUUUAUCCUAAUUAUGUUUGCUUUUAUAUUUUAUACCUUUUGAAAAUGGCAUGAUAUGGCGAAAUCUACCCCCAGAUAUCAUAAACUACCGGGCAAACGAACGUAUACACUUGAAAAUUUGAUUUGACCCCUAAAUUACAAAUGUCAUCAGAACGUUAUUAGACUGACCUUGUUGUGAUAUACUCAUUGAUAUGAUGCAUGCACUAUCGCCUAGGUAGCCGUAUCAAAUACAUCACCGUCGAAUAACGAUUUCUUGUUUGUUUAAUUUUCAGCCACCUUCAAACAUUGGUGUAUACUUUCUUUCUUACCUUAGAGCUCUAUGAUAAUUACCGCACAACGUUAUUUCGGGUAUGUCUUAUGCGUGUUUCGUUGUUUUAGACUGAACUAUUAUCAGGACAUGGUAUUUCGUUUAUACGCGCCCUGGUGCUUAUUCUUGGACCAAGCUUCCAAACCCGGCGGAUAAUGGAGACCUGGCGUCGCCUUUUACGGCAAGGAUGGAUUGCUGAAGACCUAGGCUACCCCGGAUCUUCAAGGAUGAUGGGGUGUCAGCUACCUUUGCUCAUUUCCUCGUUGAUCCAGUCAAGAAUUUCUUGUUCCGCUGUCAAAGUCAGCCGCCAUUUUGGUUUGAGAACGAAGCGACCUCAGCCAGCGAUUGUUUCGCUUGCAAGCGGCUGAAAGUUAGCGCACUGCUGUAACAUCGCGCCCCCUACACUAACUAUGACGUCACACUUAUAUGACGUCACAACAAACGCUCCGUCACUAAGACUCCUGUGAUCAAGACGUCUUAUAAUUGUUGAUGACAGUGUAUGUACAUGAUGACUCAAGGCAGUCUCCACAGCGCCCCAUUGGUGUAUGUCCUUGUCAACAAGGGAGUGAAGGCAAUGCGUACCGGGCUCCACAACAUUGCCGACAACAGUGAGCGAUGCCGCCUUCCACCCGAGUGUCGCGCAUCAAUGACAUCACAUCAAACCAGGAACAUGGCACGGUCCAA
rnacentral:lncRNA from 1 species